AUGUCUAACAAAAUCAUAAAUAAUGUUCUCAGUUUAAUAUCUGAUAUGUGGGCCAUCAGCUCACACGAUAUUAACUCAACUUUUUAAGGGGAAGAGUCCGUUAAGGUAGCUUGCUACCUGGGCUUUUGCACGUCGCCUAUGUGUUGCACUACUGCACGGGCCUGGCUCACCCCAC
rnacentral:snRNA from 1 species